GCUGUCCUGUGAAUCGUUGACCCACGCAGCUGCAUCCCCGAAACCGUGAAGAUGGCGGCCAGGACCAUGCAAGCAGCCCGAUGCCCGACAGAUGAGCUGUCGCUGACUAAUUGUGCCGUGGUGAGCGAGAAGGAUCUGCAGUCAGGACAACAUGUGACUGUGAAGACCACACCCAACCACAAGUUUGUGUUCACAGUGAAGACCCACCACACGGUGGCACCUGGAAGCAUCGCCUUCAGCCUGCCACAGAGGAAAUGGGCCGGUCUUUCCAUUGGCCAGGAAGUGGAAGUGGCCAACUACAACUUUGACAAGUCAAAGCAGUGCAUUGGCGCCAUGACAAUCGAAAUUGACUUCCUGCAGAAGAAGAGUACUGACUCCUCACCCUACGACUCAGACAAGAUGGCCGCCGAGUUUAUCCAACAGUUCAACAACCAGAGCUUCUCUGUUACCCAGCAGCUGGUGUUUAGUUUCUGCGACAAGCUGUUUGGAUUGAUGGUAAAAGAUAUCGAGGCCAUGGAUGCCAGCAUCCUCAGAGGAGAACCACCUUCUGGAAAGAAACAAAAGAUCGACAUCGGACUGAUGGUGGGUAACAGCCAGGUGAUCUUUGAGAAGGCAGAGAGUUCAUCCCUCACACUAGUUGGUAAGGCAAAGACCAAGGAGGCCCGACAGACCAUCAUCAACCCAGAAUGGAACUUUGAGAAGAUGGGAAUUGGAGGUCUGGACAGGGAAUUCUCCGACAUUUUCCGCAGAGCCUUUGCUUCCCGAGUCUUCCCUCCAGACAUUGUGGAGCAGAUGGGGUGUAAGCACGUGAAGGGCAUCAUGCUGUUUGGGCCUCCUGGCUGUGGUAAGACACUGAUGGCCAGGCAGAUUGGCAAGAUGCUCAACGCCCGCGAGCCCAAGGUCGUCAACGGCCCCGAGAUCCUCAACAAGUACGUUGGAGAGUCUGAGGCCAACAUCCGCAAACUGUUUGCUGACGCAGAGGACGAGCAGAAGAGGCUGGGAGCCAACAGCGGCCUCCAUAUCAUCAUCUUUGAUGAGCUGGAUGCCAUCUGCAAGCAGAGAGGCACAGGCGCCAGCAGCACGGGCGUGCACGACACCGUGGUCAACCAGCUGCUGUCCAAGAUUGACGGCGUGGAGCAACUUAACAACAUCCUGGUCAUCGGUAUGACCAACAGGCCUGACCUGAUAGAUGAUGCCCUGAUGAGGCCUGGCAGAUUUGAGGUCAAGAUGGAAAUUAGUCUGCCUGAUGAGAAGGGGCGUGUCCAGAUCCUGACCAUCCACACCAACAAGAUGCGAGGCUUCGGCCUGCUUGCCCCCGAUGUUGAGAUCAAGGAAUUGGCGGCCGAAACCAAGAACUACAGCGGUGCGGAGCUGGAGGGUCUGGUCAGGGCCGCUCAGUCCACCGCCAUGAACCGACACAUCAAGGCCACAUCUACAGUGGAAGUGGACAUGGAGAAGGCCGAGAAGCUGCAGGUCACCAGAAGUGACUUCAUGGGAUCCCUCAACAACGACAUCAAACCUGCGUUUGGUACGAACCAGGAAGACUACUCCAGCUACAUCAUGAACGGCAUCAUCAAAUGGGGCGACCCGGUCACUCACGUCCUGGAUGAUGGAGAGCUGCUGGUGCAGCAGACCAAGAACAGUGAUCGCACACCGCUGGUGGCUGUGCUAUUGGAAGGCCCACCCCACAGUGGAAAGACGGCCCUGGCAGCCCAGAUUGCAGAGGACUCGGAGUUCCCCUUCAUUAAGAUCUGCUCUCCAGACAAGAUGAUUGGAUUUUCUGAAAUUUCCAAGUGCCAGGCAAUCAAAAAGGUCUUCGAUGAUGCUUAUAAGUCACAGCUCAGCUGCGUGGUGGUUGACGACAUUGAGCGUCUGCUGGACUACGUCCCCAUCGGGCCUCGUUUCUCCAACCUGGUGCUUCAGGCUCUGCUGGUGCUGCUGAAGAAAGCUCCUCCAAAGGGUCGGAAGCUGCUCAUCAUCGGCACCACCAGCAGGAAGGACGUGCUGCAGGAGAUGGAGAUGUUGGACGCCUUCAGCACCACCAUCCACAUCCCCAACAUCUCUACCGGGGAGCAGCUCGUCGACGCUUUAGAGCUGCUGGGGAGCUUCACAGAUAAAGAGCGGGCCAGCAUCGCACAUCAGCUCAAAGGGAAACGAGUGUGGAUCGGUAUCAAGAAGCUCCUGGUGCUCAUCGAGAUGUCACUGCAGAUGGACCAGGAUUACAGAGUGACCAAGUUCCUGUCUCUGCUCAGGGAUGAGGGGGCGUUGAACGAAGGCGAUCAAAUUCGAAUUUAAUGCUGUUGGUCGCUCUCGCUGUGCACUGGAUUUUGAUUGCAGUAGCAGCUUCAGUGACCGCAGCUUCUACGAGUAGAGGGGCUGAAGGAGUGAAGCAAACACCUCGCCACCAACAAACCACCCAUGGGACAAAAUUAAAAUGAGAAAUAAAAAGAGAUCAUCCUCUUGUCUGCCCACCCAUCCGUCCGUCCAUCUACUUAAAUACACACCUGGUCAAAGUGGGGAACACACCAGUCCCCUUCAUCUCAGCAUGUUUCAGUAGGCAGUAUCACUGUAUCAUUGCCAUCAACUUUACUUAUUGACAUAUUACAGCAAACUACUGUAAGUCGUAGUUAAAAAUCUGUUUAUCUGUAAAGAAGUUGCAAUAGAUGAUUGUAAAAAAAGUGAAAAAAAGUGAAAAAAAGUGCUGUUUUGUGCAUCGUGCGGAAAAAAUAACAACAAAAAAAGCCAUGUAUGUUUUUCAGCUGUAGUAUUUGUUGUAUUCGUUGCAUAUCCCCCGUCUGGCUAAAGAUAGUAUGAUAUGUAUCCUUACAGAACACAUGAGCAGAAUAAACAGAGUACAAUGGACACAAAGGUAUUUGAAUAUUUUUAAGAAUUUAAUCUAUGAGAGGCUUUUAGUGAAUAUGUUGUGGCUGUAUAAAAAAAAAGAUGAUCCAUGUGUAAAUGUAAACCCCUUUAAAUCUUACAGUAUGUAACUCAGUCAUGUUCUGUACAUAGUAUAUAUAGACAAAAUAAUUCAAACGAUAUAUAUAUCCUUAUUCCUCCGGAGAUGUUGACUUUACCAGGUUACUGUAAUAGUGAAGUAAAUGUCAGAUUGUGGGCCCGUCUGUCUGUGUUGCGUGCAGUUUGGUUCAGUCUAGCUAUAUUGUAGCUACAACAUCAUCAGUGUUAAAGAUUUAAGAAAGAUUCUGCACUUAUGACAUCGAAUUAAAAACAAAACAAACAACAAACCCUUUAGUACUUAUCUCGGCGGUUCUUUGUGGGAACCCCGAGCUUGUGUCUGCUCUUGUGCAUGCAUGUGGGGAAUCAAACGCUGCAUGUGUCCAGUGUGUCGGAUCGUUUGUGUGCGUGUGUGUGUGUGUGCGUGAGUGUGAGGUGGCAGAACGUGCUUUUGAAUGUGCGCAUGUGUGUUUAAGUGUGUGUGUACAUUUCAAUCUAGGUUUUAGACA